rnacentral:lncRNA from 1 species
GCAUCUUUUAUUUAUUUAUUUAUUUAUUUAUUAUUUUUUAGAGACAAGAUCUCACUCUGUCACCCAGGCCGGAGUGUACUGGCGCAGUCAGGGCUCACUGCAGCCUUGACCUCCCAGGCUCAAGCAAACAUCCCACCUUAGCCUCCCGAGUAGCUGGGACUACAAGCAGGAGCCAACAAGCCCAACAAAUUAUUGUUUUUUUUGUAGAGAUGGUGGUUCCACCAUGUUGCCAGGCUGGUCUUGAACUCCUGGGCUUGAGAGAUCUGCCUGCCUUGGCCUCCCAAAAUGCUGGGAUUACAGGCAUGAGCUACGGCAUCUGGCCCAUGCAUCCUUUUAAAAGAAAAUCUCUUUUUAUCAACACAGAAAGAUAUCCUUGGAAAAUUAAGUAAUGAAACAACUCGUAUAAAUGAGAAUGGCCACAUUUUGGUUAAAGAAGAUAAUAAUAUACGUUAAUAUGUUCAUUUAAAAAAAUGUGGAGGCCAAUAACCAAACAAUUACAAUGGUUUUCUUUAGAUAGUAAGAAAAAUGGGAGACUUUCACUUUCUUCAUUGUGUAGUUCUGUAAUGUUUGAUUUUUUCAAGGCACAUAUAUUAUUGUUAAGCUCAAUGUCCUGGGUUCCAAAUAUGAAUCUUGAAGUUAUCAUCAUCAUUUUCCCCAGAAUAUUCUAAAAGGGACUAGAGUAAAUAGGACACUCAUUGAUUUCCUUACUUGUCUGACAAGGAUAAAGCCCAAGCUAGUGGCCUCCACAGUGGGUGCACAAGAUGAUCCAUUGAUGCUCAGAGAAAAAGUAUGCGAACAUCAACAUACAUAUUUUAAUCUCAUCCUUUGUUAAUUUCCAUUGUCAACUUUUGUUUUUAAAUCAUACAUUAUAUAAUUAUUUAUAUUCAUAAAUGUAUAUUACAUGUAUAUCAUUUGUACAUAAAUAUAUACUCAUAUAUUACGGGGAGUGUUCAAACAUUUUUUUAUUGAUGGAGUAUCUGAUCAAAAGAGUUUAGAGUCCAUUAAUUUAGGUCAAAGCUGCCUUUAAGAGAACUUGAAUUAGAGCUAAGGUAGACAUAAACAUUUUCCAUAAGUUAGUUGUCCUCCCCAAAGUCACUAAUACAGUACUUAAAAGGAAAAAAAUCAGGAAAAUAGGUGAGAAAACACAAUGGAAGACACAUGAAAGAGUCAACUCAGUAAGUAAUAAAAGGUAGAAGAGAAGAAAGUAAAACGGACAGAAUGAUUAUUUACCUAUACACAAAUCAAAUAAUAAAACAAUGGGGAAAACCUUAAUGAAUAAAGAAAGGGAAGUCAAAAUGCAGGAAUAGUCCCACAAAACAUUUAGAGAUGAAGAAACCACAUUCUAUCCUGAAAAAAAAGCAAAUUGUCAAACAGUUGGAAUUUAGAAUGUAACACAUCUGUAGUUCUAUGUUUUCAGCCUAAUGCUUCAAGCAUAGUAUGCACUCAAUGAGUAAAGAAAGAAAGGAUUUUAGGUUAUAGCAUUUUACACCAAAUUAAUGUGUUUAGCUGCAAUUUGAAAGCUUAAUGUGUUUUUGUUAUUUCUCUAUUUUAAAUUGAGCUGCUGAAUAUUUUAUAGAUUAUGAGAAACAGAAAACAAAAAAAUUGAAAAAACAAUGGCAAUUUUGUGAUGUUACAUUUGCAAAUGCAAUGAAAAAGGUAACAACUCAUUGGGAGAAUUUCAAAAUAUGACAGGUAAUUAUUUAUUUGCCAACCCAUGGAAACCUCCUCUAUUCCUUUGCCGUUAUAUGAGCCAAAUAAUCAAAUAAGAAUAUUUGCAAUGAACUUAUAAUUUAGAACUUCUAAAAUUUCUAGAGCCAGAAUAAAGGCAAUUAACAGGAUUAAAGCAGUGACCUUUUUCCUGCUCUUGAAAGCUGAAUUCAUUAGUGACGUUCUAUACGGUCUAUAAAUUAUUUUUUAAAAUAACACUUCCAUUGUGUGGGUAUUUUUAAGCCUAUUGCUAAUAGUUACUUUAAGCCCUCUGAUCUAGAAUGUAAGCAUGUUUUGUUAGUGUUAAAACAAAAUGAAAUCCUGUUUUGCAGUAGUUACAACUUUACCAUCUCUCCCAGGGGCAGCAAAGAUAAAUAGAUUAUUUUUAGGCAAAUGUAAGGCACUAUAUUCUUAGAUUAUCAUUCAGAUAUUCAUCAAAUAUUCAAUGAGGGUUUCUCAGUGCCAAACAUUGUGUUGGAGUUGGAGAUCCACUCGUGAAAUUAAUGAGUCAGCCUCCUCCAGAAUUCACAAUAGUCUUUCCUUGAUUAAUUUUGCAAUAUCCAAACUAUCUGAGAUAUAUCUGUGCAUGUGUAUGGAUGUGUAGACUCAUGAAUAUAAAACACUACUAUAAAAAAGAUAACUACUUAACAUUUAACCAUGAUUAUUGUAGGAGGUGCAAUACUUAACUCUUAAAAAAAGUAAGUAGAAGUAUCUUUAAAAGCCGCAUAAUGUGUGAUUCAACAAUUCUACUUUUAGGAAUUCAUCUUCACAAAAUGAUAAAGGUUAGUGGCAAAUAUUUAAUUACAAGGGUGCUCAUAGUAGAAUUAUUAUUAUUGUUGUUAUUAUUAUUAUUUUAAGACAGGGUCUCACUCUGUUGCCCAGGCUGGAGUACAGUGGUGUAAUCAGAGCUCACUGCAGCCUCCAACUCCUGAAUUCAAGCAAUCUUCCCAUCUCAGCCUCCUGAGUAGCUGAGACUACAGGUGCUUGCCACCAUUCCUGGAUAAUUUUUUUUUUUCUUUUGCAGAGGCAGGGUCUCGCUAUGUUUCCCAGGCAUAUUUUUUUAAAAAGUGCAAGAAACAUCUUAGAUCAAUGCAGGAUUGCUUACAUAAAUUAUGAUCACACAAUGGGAAACUAGGUAAUAUUAAAAAGGAUUAUGUAGAAGUGUUUUCAAUGAUGUGGAAAAAAUUCCAUGAUAUAUCAGAAAGUGAAAAUUAGAAGUUUCCUUGUUGCUUAGGUGUCUAGUACAGAAAACAAGUCCUGACUGUGCUCUGAGCCUGGGCAAGACACUUGACCUCACAGACUCAGUUCUUCCAUCUGUUAAUGUGUGGAAUUUGUGUUACCCUCAAAUUCAUAUGCUGAAGUGAUAGUCCACAGUGCCUCAGAAUGCGAUAUUUGGAGAUAAGGUUUUUAAAGAGGUAAUUAAGUUAAAAUGAGGUUAUUAGGGGGCCUUAAUCCAAUAUGACUGAUAUGCUUAUAAGAAACGGAGAUUAGUACAUAGGCUGUAUAGGGGUAAGACCAGGUAUAGACACAGGGAGAAGACAGCCAUCUGCAAGCCAAGACGAGAAGCCUCAAAGGAAACCAACCCUGCCAAUAACUUGAUCAGAGACAUAGACUUCAGAACUUUCAGAAAAUAAAUGUCUGCCGCUCAAGCCACCCAGUCUGUGGUAAUUUGUUAUAGCAGUCCUAGCAAACUAAUACACCAUUUAAAAGAGGGAGAAAAUCUUAAUAUCAUCUUUAUUUAGCUCACAAGUUUGCUGUAAGUCAAAUAGAUGUAAUCUCUUUGUAAACUGUAAAGUACUAUAUAAAUGUGAAUAAUUGUUAUUCACAAGGUCCUUGAAAAUGCAGUCAUGUUGUUACGAUUUGAAUUUUAUAUUCCUUUAGUAGGGCAGACACUCAGUAUCAGUACAGGGGAUGGGGAGAAGCAAGAGAUUUCCUAGGGCUGCAGCAAAAAACACAAAUGAUUUGUCAUUGAAAGAAGAGGCAAAAUAAAAUGAAUAGUUCCUUGCAUUCAUGCUGCAAAUUUUUAAGCAAACCGAUACCUAAACUACAUACAAUAACAAUAUCUAAUAUGUAUUAAGCAUUUACUAAGUACCUAGCAUAAUCCCAAGUACUUUUAAUAUGUGUUCUCAGCCAGGCGCGGUGGCUCACGCCUGUAAUCCUAGCCUUUAUCAACCCCAUGGUAAAAGUGCUUGGUGUGUGUAUGUGUGUCAUGUACUGUGUAUAUAUAUUUAUUUAUGUGUGUGCAUCUAUUUUAGUUUUGUUACAUGUAUCUUUUUUUUUUUUUUUUGGAGACAGGGUCUCACUCUGUUGCCCAGGGUGGAGUACAGAGGUGCAAUAUCGGCUCACUGCAACCUCUGUCUCCAGGUUCAAGCGAUUUUCCUGCCUCAGCCUCCCAAUUAGCUGAGUACAGGCGCCCAUCACCACGCCAAGCUAAUUUUUAGUAGAGACGAGGUUUUGCCAUGUUGGGCAGGCUAGUCUCAAACUCCUGACCUCAAGUGAUCCACUCACCUUGGCCUCUCAAAGUGCUGGGAUUACAGGCAUGAGCCACCGCACCCGGCCUGUUAUACAUAUCUUUAACAUUAAAAUUUGUUCCUAUGUGGUAAGAACAGUAAAAGGAGUAAUAAAAUUGCCAAAAUAAGUUGUGAUUUUCCAAGAGAUGACUGUGCUUUGCAUUACUGUGAAACACUGAAAACACUGCUAAAUGACCUAUGCGUAACACACACCCAUGCUAUCUUCUUACUCUUGCCCCAGUACAUCCAUAUGCAUUGCUCUAACAGUGUGCAAGCUGUUCUUCUGAGUUUAUUUUAUGAUAAGCGUAUUGAAUACAUUAUCUCAAAUCUGUGUAAGCAUCCUGCUUAUAAGAAUCUCAAGCAAUGAAUAAAAAGAAAAGCCUUAUGUUUUAAGGAGAAAAUGAAAUAAUAAAAUAUUUUGAAACAAAUGAGAGAACUUGCAGGCCUGAAGGAAUCCACAUUGCCCAUUUAGAUUUAGAGAUUUAGAAACAAGGCUAAGAAAAUAAAAGAAAGGAAAACUCUUACAUCAUAGUUAUCUGCUUCCAGUGGAAUUGAGAAGCAUUUGGAAGAGACUGAAGACAAAGAAAGACUCUAAUGCUGAACAAUGAGUGUGGAUGAGGCCGGGCGUGGUGGCUCAUGCCUGUAAUCCCAGCGCUUUGGGAGGCCGAGGUAGGCAGAUCACUUGAGGUCAGGAGUUUGAGACCAGCCUAGCCCGGCCAACAUAGUGAAACCCUGCCCGUACUAAAAAUACAAAAAUUAGCCAGGCUUGGUGGCGGGUGCCUGUAAUCCCAGCUCCUUGGAAGGCUGAGGCAGGAGAAUCGCUUGAACCCGGGAGGUGGAGGUUGCAGUGAGCGAAGAUGUCACCACUGCACUCCAGCGUGGGUGACAGAGCGAGACUCUGUCUCGAGAAAAAAAA